UGUCAUUUACAAGAUUGAAGGGCUAAUGG
rnacentral:piRNA from 1 species